rnacentral:rRNA from 1 species
GACGAACCGUGCGAACGUUGUUCGGAAUCACUGGGCUUAAAGGGCGCGUAGGCGGGCUGCCAAGUCUGGGGUGAAAUCCCACGGCUCAACCGUGGAACUGCCUCGGAUACUGGCGGUCUCGAGGGAGGUAGGGGCAUGCGGAACUGUGGGUGGAGCGGUGAAAUGCGUUGAUAUCCACAGGAACUCCGGUGGCGAAAGCGGCGUGCUGGACCUCCUCUGACGCUGAGGCGCGAAAGCUAGGGGAGCAAACGGG